rnacentral:rRNA from 1 species
CCUACGGUUGGCUGCAGUGAGGAAUAUUGGUCAAUGGACGAGAGUCUGAACCAGCCAAGUAGCGUGAAGGAUGACUGCCCUAUGGGUUGUAAACUUCUUUUAUAUGGGAAUAAAACGUUCCACGUGUGGGAUUUUGUAUGUACCAUAUGAAUAAGGAUCGGCUAACUCCGUGCCAGCAGCCGCGGUAAUACGGAGGAUCCGAGCGUUAUCCGGAUUUAUUGGGUUUAAAGGGAGCGUAGGUGGGUUGUUAAGUCAGUUGUGAAAGUUUGCGGCUCACACGUAAAAUUGCAGUUGAAACUGGCAGUCUUGAGUACAGUAGAGGUGGGCGGAAUGCGUGGUGUAGCGGUGGAAUGCUUAGAUAUCACGAAGAACUCCGAUGGCGAAGGCAGUUCACUGGACUGCAACUGACACUGAGGCUCGAAAGUGGGGGUAUCAAACAGGAUUAGAUACCCCAGUAGUC